CUUGGUUGAUCCUGCCAAGGAAGCACACUUCGGUCAUAGAUUAAGCCAUGCAAGUGUAAGUUCAGGGUAACUGAAACUGCGAACAGCUCAUUAACACACUCGGAAUCUAUUUGAUGGCAUCUCGAUUGAGAUUUAGAUGGAUAGCAGAAGUAAAUCUUGUGCUAAUACAUGCGAAAAUGUUUCAUCUGAAAUGAAUUAGGAUGGAAAAGUUGACCUUUUAGGAGGCACAUCAUUCGAUCGAGUGACCUAUCAGCCUGUACUUAGGGUCUUGACCUAGGUAAACAAUCACGGGUAACGGGCGGUUACCGUCGUACUGCCGGAGAAGGCGCCUGAGAGAUAGCGACUAUACCCACGGGUAGCAGCAGGCGCGAAACUUCCCCACUCUACAACGUAGGAGGGGGUAAUGACCAGUUCUUCUAAUUCUAUUAUAGAAUUGUAGAUAGGAAUAGAUCUUAUAUAAUCUUUUGAAACCUAGCAGAGGGCCAGUCUGGUGCCAGCAGCUGCGGUAAUUCCAGCUCUGCAAGUUUGCUCCCAUAUUGUUGCAGUUAAAACGCCCGUAGUCUGAAAUUCCAUAAGGAAUAUAAUUAAUAAUUUUAUUAUUAAUUGGUCACUGUGAACAAAUCAGGACGCUUAGGGUAUUUUAAAAAUGAAUGGCCUAGCGCAGUAUGACAAUUUUGAUUUUUUAUCUCUAAAGGUAAAGAAUCAAGAUCAAAGAGAGCCAUCGGGGGUAAAUCUAUUUAAUGGCGAGCGGUGGAAUGCAUUGACCCAUUUGGAGAGAAACAAAAGCGAAAGCAUUUACCUAGAGGGUUUCUAUCGAUCAAGGGCGAGAGCAGGAGUAUCCAACCGGAUUAGAGACCCGGGUAGUUCCUGCUGUAAACGAUGCCGACAGGGGAUUAUCUUUAAUAUAUAAAGGUAGAACUCAGUGAGAAAUCAUAGUUCUUGGGCUCUGGGGGAACUACGACCGCAAGGCUGAAACUUGAAGGAAUUGACGGAAGGGCACACCAGGGGUGGAGCCUGUGGCUUAAUUUGAAUCAACACGGGAAAACUUACCAGGACCAGAUGUUUUUUAUGACUGACCAGCUAAAGACUGUUCAGGAUAUUGCUUGUGGUGGUGCAUGGCCGUUGGUGGUGCGUGGGUUGACCUGUCUAGCGUUGAUUCAGCUAACGAGCGAGAUUAUCGCCAAUUAAAUUACGGAAGUAUAAUUGGGACUCCCUGCGAUAUAGCAGGAGGAAGAGGGUAGCAAUAACAGGUCCGUGAUGUCCUUAGAUGCCCUGGGCUGCACGCGUGCUACAAUGUGAAAAUCAAACAGUAAAACGAAUAUGAAAAUAUGAGUUACUCUGUCAAACUUUCACGUAGUUGGGAUUGACGAUUGUAAUCAUCGUCAUGAACCAGGAAUCCCUUGUAAAUGUGUGUCAACAUCGCACGUUGAAUACGUCCCUGCCCUUUGUACACACCGCCCGUCGCUCCUACCGAUUGGAUGAUUCGGUGAAAUUACUAGAUUUCUAUUAUAGAGAGAAGGUAAUUAAAUCACGUUAUCUAGAGGAAGGAGAAGUCGUAACAAGGUAACGGUAGGUGAACCUGCCGUUG
rnacentral:rRNA from 1 species